GACGAACGCUGGCGGCGUGCUUAACACAUGCAAGUCGAACGGAAAGGCCCUGCUUUUGUGGGGUGCUCGAGUGGCGAACGGGUGAGUAACACGCGAGUAACCUGCCCUUGACUUUGGGAUAACUUCAGGAAACUGGGGCCAAUACCGGAUAGGAGCUCCUGCUGCACGGUGGGGGUUGGAAAGUUUCGGCGGUUGGGGAUGGACUCGCGGCUUGUCAGCUUGUUGGUGGGGUAGUGGCUUACCAAGGCUUGGACGGGUAGCCGGCCUGAGAGGGUGACCGGACCCAUUGGGACUGGGAUGCGGCACGGACCAGUCCGGGACGGAACGGUGGAGUAGGGUGCACAAUGGGCGGGAGCCUGCCGUGACACCGCCGCGUGGGGUGUGACGGGCUGCGCGUUGUGUUGCGAAGUUCCCUGUGCCGGGACGAGAAUGACGGUACCGGGUGAAUAAGCCCCGGCUAACUACGUG
rnacentral:rRNA from 1 species